UUCCUUUCCUAACAUCGAUCACCAGCAAUUCACUCAAACCGGAACUUUGGAGUUUUGGGAAAAUGUUUCAGUACGGCACAUUUCUCUGAAACAUACACGCACUGGAAAGACGCCAUGUUAAGUGUGGCAGGAUUCUGAUUCGACUUCAGUUGAAAGACAUGCAGAAAUGGAUUUUGAUAAUUAGGCUGGUUUCGACCCCUCAUGGGAGAAGCCGAAAGAAGAAGAAGAAGAAAAAGAAGGCUGAUCUGGAUUUCACUGCUGGCUGACACGAAGUUCCCGGUGGCGGUUAAUAUAUCUGGCAAUCCGGGAGAAAACGUGUCAUUCUGCAGCAACAUCGAUACAGUUUCACUAAUUAUAAGAGUCCUGUAUCCUGUUUAGUAUGAAACAACUAAAAAAAGACAAUUAUUUACGAUAUUAGUGCAUUAAAAGUUUAUUUUAAUCUA